rnacentral:rRNA from 2 species
UACGGAGGGUGCAAGCGUUAAUCGGAAUUACUGGGCGUAAAGCGCACGUAGGCGGGCAAUUAAGUCGGAUGUGAAAUCCCCGGGCUUAACCUGGGAACUGCAUCCGAUACUGGUUGCCUAGAGUAUGGAAGAGGGAAGCGGAAUUCCAGGUGUAGCGGUGAAAUGCGUAGAUAUCUGGAGGAACAUCAGUGGCGAAGGCGGCUUCCUGGUCCAAUACUGACGCUGAGGUGCGAAAGCGUGGGGAGCAAAC